rnacentral:rRNA from 1 species
AUGCUUAACACAUGCAAGUCGAACGGUAACAUUUCUAGCUUGCUAGAAGAUGACGAGCGGCGGACGGGUGAGUAAUGCUUGGGAAUAUGCCUUAUGGUGGGGGACAACAGUUGGAAACGACUGCUAAUACCGCAUAACGUCUACGGACCAAAGGGGGGGAUCUUCGGACCUCUCGCCAUUUGAUUAGCCCAAGUGAGAUUAGCUAGUUGGUAAGGUAAUGGCUUACCAAGGCGACGAUCUCUAGCUGGUUUGAGAGGAUGAUCAGCCACACUGGGACUGAGACACGGCCCAGACUCCUACGGGAGGCAGCAGUGGGGAAUAUUGCACAAUGGGCGAAAGCCUGAUGCAGCCAUGCCGCGUGUGUGAAGAAGGCCUUCGGGUUGUAAAGCACUUUCAGUUGUGAGGAAAGGUUGUAGUUUAAUAUGCUAUAGCUGUGACGUUAACAACAGAAGAAGCACCGGCUAACUUCGUGCCAGCAGCCGCGGUAAUACGAGGGGUGCAAGCGUUAAUCGGAAUUACUGGGCGUAAAGCGUUCGUAGGCGGUUUGUUAAGCAAGAUGUGAAAGCCCAGGGCUCAACCUUGGAACUGCAUUUUGAACUGGCAAACUAGAGUACUGUAGAGGGUGGUGGAAUUUCCAGUGUAGCGGUGAAAUGCGUAGAGAUCGGAAGGAACACCAGUGG